ensembl:lncRNA
GCUAUCGCAGUUCUGCAAGACCAGAACUCUUUGUCCAGACUCCUCUCCAAAGUGGACAUGAGCGCAUCAGACCUGCUCAGCGCACUCACCAAAGUCCAAGCCAAAGGCGGACUAGAGGGUAUCUCUUCACUUCUUAACAGCCCUUUGCCUCGUUUGUCCAACUCUCCAGCUUCAGGCAAGAAACAGCCUCCUCUCUCCUCACAGACAGUCUCAUCCCCCGCAACAAUCAUUUCAGAGACUUCCAACCAAUCGCUUCCCUACCAAAGCCCCCCUCAGACUGAGCCUCCCCCCUCUGCUUUAACCGAAGCAGAGACCUCAACAUUAUCUGACAGUCUAGAGUCCAAAAUCCACUGCUUCCUCCAGGGAAAUCCAGCCUUUAGCGCGUUUGAUUUGGGGCUUGAGUCGACUCCGACAAAUGCAGCAAGUCCCGCUCAAGAAGGGACCCCUGUGCGGGAUGAGGGAGGGAGUACACCCACACAAGACGAGGUAAUGGACAAAACAAUGGUAGGACUUAAUCCCAAUCCAGUUUCUACUGGAGAGACUAGUAGCAUUCUUCCACAGCAACCUUCAGUUGUUCCUAAUGGCCAGUCUUACCAGCCUUAUCCUUAUGCUGACAAUACAACCCAGUCAGCUAGUACAGCACCACUUGCAAAUUACCAACAAAUUUUGGCACAAAUUGGUGAUGUACCCCCCAGCGCUACCACAAACAUAACAAAUAUUGUAGAAAAAAUCAAUGAAAGUGGUUGGUUUGAUGCCAUUUACCCAGAAGGCAGCUCUCAGCAAAGUUUAAAUGUGCCUUCAGGCUCUUUGGAGAGCACGCAGCCUGGACAGUUCCCAUAUCAUUCUGUGCAAGAGCCACCAGAUGGCACUCCUAUCGACUACUACAACCCCCCUGGUACUUCAGGUUUAGCUACUGGUGUCCUGGAGCAACACCCAGCUCCCAUUGAAGAGGCAGCAUCAGGUGUUAGCAGUUUACUCAGUGGCGUUAUAGUCCAUGACCAUCAACACAAGUCCGCUUUUCAUGCAGACAAUCCACUUUGUGACCCCCUCCCCCCAGAAUAUUUAGACGAAAGGCGAUACCAUGAAGAUGAAAUGUAUCACCGUGAACGUUUUCAAGAAGAUCCUUACGGGCUUCCGGGUGAGCCCUAUUUUGGACCAAGAGUAAGAGGACGCUUAAGUCCACCCCUCUCUGCUUCAGAAGAUGAAUAUUAUGACUACCAACAUGGGGCAGCACCGUUACCAAGGAGACCACCACUUCCACACCAUCCUGAUAUGAGGAUGAGGGGGAUGAGACCGCCCCUCAGGCCUCCUCCGUUGGGACAUCACCCAAGGGGGCACCCAAGACCUCCGUUCCCAGGCGGCCGAGCUCCGGAGCCCUGGGUAAGAGGCAAAAGACCGGGGCCAAGGAGAGGAGGAGGAGGUCCCAACUUUCCCCCCAAAAGACCAUUUCCCCCGCGACGGCGCUGAAUCGAGGAGGUGAGGGGGUUAAGUGUGAAAUGUCCAGUUUGAAGACACAAGAUGCACCAGAGAUGUGAAAGGAGACGACCAGAAGAGAAGACAGAAGAGUAAAGAGAAUAAGAGGGACUGCUGCAGUUCUUUGAUGUCUCUGAUUUGACGGAGGUUUUUUCCAUUCCUUUUUGUCGGAGCUCCUCUUUGAAUCCUGCCGUGAUUUCCCAGUGAAAAAUACCUCUCUGAUGUCUACCAAAGCAUCAGCAGCGGAUGUGGCCAUUUAAAUAUGAGGGUUUGAAAAGUGUCAGGAACGAGUUUAGGUAAGUAUAAAACAUCUUGAUCAAACACAAAUUAUCUGCUAUAAACCACUUGCCUUGAAUAUC